GUCUACGCCCGUGACACACUGAACAAGCCCAAUCCCGCCUGAUCUUGGAAGCUAAGCAGGGUCGGGCCUGGUUAGUACUUGGACAGGAGACCACCUAGGACGACCAAGUGCUAUAGGCG
rnacentral:rRNA from 1 species